rnacentral:rRNA from 1 species
GAUGAACGCUGACAGCAUGCUUAACACAUGCAAGUCGACUUGAACUUCGGUUUGGGUGGCGGACGGGUGAGUAACGCGUAAAGAACUUGCCUCACAGAUAGGGACAACAUUUGGAAACGAAUGCUAAUACCUGAUAUUAUGAUUAUAUGGCAUCGUAUAAUUAUGAAAGCUAUAUGCGCUGUGAGAGAGCUUUGCGUCCCAUUAGCUAGUUGGAGAGGUAACGGCUCACCAAGGCGAUGAUGGGUAGCCGGCCUGAGAGGGUGAUCGGCCACAAGGGGACCGAGAGACGGCGCAGACGCCUACGGGAGGCAGCGGUGGGGAAUAUUGGACAAUGGACCAAGGGGCUGAUCCAGGAAUUCUGUGUGCACGAUGAAGUUUUUCGGAAGGUAAAGUGUUUUCAGUUGGGAAGAAAAAAAAUGACGGUACCAACAGAAGAAGUGACGGCUAAAUACGUG